UACGUAGGGUGCAAGCGUUGUCCGGAAUUAUUGGGCGUAAAGAGCUCGUAGGCGGCUAGUCGCGUCGGCUGUGAAAACCUGGGGCUCAACCCCGGGCCUGCAGACGAUACGGGCUAGCUAGAAUUCGGUAGGGGAGACUGGAAUUCCUGGUGUAGCGGUGAAAUGCGCAGAUAUCAGGAGGAACACCGGUGGCGAAGGCGGGUCUCUGGGCAGUAACUGACGCUGAGGAGCGAAAGCGUGGGGAGCGAACAGG
rnacentral:rRNA from 1 species